rnacentral:rRNA from 1 species
UACGGGGCGCAGCAGGGGCGAAACCUCCACAAUGUGAGAAAUCGCGAUGGGGGGAUCCCAAGUGCCGUUCUUAACGGGAUGGCUUUUCUUAAGUGUAAAGAGCUUUUGGAAUAAGAGCUGGGCAAGACCGGUGCCAGCCGCCGCGGUAACACCGGCAGCUCUAGUGGUAGCUGUUUUUAUUGGGCCUAAAGCGUUCGUAGCCGGUUUAAUAAGUCUCUGGUGAAAUCUUACAGCUUAACUGUGGGAAUUGCUGGAGAUACUAUUAGGCUUGAGAUCGGGAGAGGUUAGAGGUACUCCUGGGGUAGGGGUGUAAUCCUGUAAUCCUAGGAGGACCACCUGUGGCGAAGGCGUCUAACUAGAACGAAUCUGACGGUGAGGAACGAAAGCUAGGGGCGCGAACCGGAUUAGAUACCCGGGUAGUCCUAGCCGUAAACUAUGCGGACUUGGUGUGAGGGUGGCUUUGAGCCGUCCUGGUGCCGAAGGGAAGCUGUUAAGUCCGCCGCCUGGGAAGUACGGUCGCAAGACCGAAACUUAAAGGAAUUGGCGGGGGAGCAC